UACGGGAGGCAGCAGUGAGGAAUAUUGGUCAAUGGAGGCAACUCUGAACCAGCUAUGCCGCGUGCAGGACGACUGCCCUAUGGGUUGUAAACUGCUUUUAUACAGGAAGAAACUUAUCUACGUGUAAAUCCUUGACGGUACUGUAAGAAUAAGGACCGGCUAACUCCGUGCCAGCAGCCGCGGUAAUACGGAGGGUCCAAGCGUUAUCCGGAAUCAUUGGGUUUAAAGGGUCCGCAGGCGGUCAAUUAAGUCAGAGGUGAAAUCCCAUCGCUCAACGAUGGAACUGCCUUUGAUACUGGUUGACUUGAGUUAUAGGGAAGUAGAUAGAAUAAGUAGUGUAGCGGUGAAAUGCAUAGAUAUUACUUAGAAUACCGAUUGCGAAGGCAGUCUACUACGUAUAUACUGACGCUCAUGGACGAAAGCGUGGGGAGCGAACAGGAUUAGAUACCCUGGUAGUCCACGCC
rnacentral:rRNA from 1 species